CCAGUCGGCUGGACGACCGCUCCCGCAAGCGCUGAAAGGCGGCGGGGGAGGAAAGUCCGGGCUCCAUGGAAACACGGUGCCGGGUAACGCCCGGCGAGGGCGACCUCAGGGAAAGUGCCGCAGAAAGCAAACCGCCUGCUCAAAACCCGCAAGGGGGCGCGCAGGUAAGGGUGAAAGGGUGGGGUAAGAGCCCACCGCGGUCCCGGCAACGGGGCCGGCAUGGUAAACCCCACCGGGAGCAAGACCGAAUAGGGACGGCGCGGGAGGCAACUCCCAGGCGUGUUUUCACGUUGACCGUCCGGGUAGGUCGCGCGAGGCGUCCGGUAACGGACGUCCCAGAUGAAUGGUCGUCGCGGCGGGUUCGCCCGCCGAACAGAACCCGGCUUACAGGCCGACUGGCACC
rnacentral:RNase_P_RNA from 1 species